CUAUGGAGGAGGAGAGUCCCCGCCCGGCGCUGGAGAAAGAGGUAAGUUUAACCCCUUCCACCCCCUAUGAACAAGUAUGUUUUCCUGGCACUAUAGUGGUCCUUUAACUCAACAUUAUCUAAAAUGUUAGACCCAGCUGAGUUGGGGAUUUGUAUUGUUUUAUUUUUUAGUAUAAAAGUUUUCAUUUAGGCCUCAAUUUAUUAUUUU